GACGAACGCUGGCGGCGUGCUUAACACAUGCAAGUCGAACGGUGAAGCGCCUUCCUUUUUGGUGGGUGUGGAUGAGUGGCGAACGGGUGAGUAACACGUGAGUAACCUGCCCCCUUCUUCUGGAUAACCGCAUGAAAGUGUGGCUAAUACGGGAUAUUCUGGGUCUGUCGCAUGAUGGGUCUGGGAAAGAUAUUGUUUCGGUGGGGGAUGGGCUCGCGGCCUAUCAGCUUGUUGGUGGGGUGAUGGCCUACCAAGGCGGUGACGGGUAGCCGGCCUGAGAGGGUGGACGGUCACACUGGGACUGAGACACGGCCCAGACUCCUACGGGAGGCAGCAGUGGGGAAUAUUGCACAAUGGGCGCAAGCCUGAUGCAGCGACGCCGCGUGAGGGAUGGAGGCCUUCGGGUUGUGAACCUCUUUCGCCAGUGAAGCAGGCCUGCCUCGUAUGUGGGUGGGUUGACGGUAGCUGGAUAAGAAGCGCCGGCUAACUACGUG
rnacentral:rRNA from 1 species